AAGAGCCUUGCCUCUCUUAGGAAAAUCAGUGAUGGUUCAUGGAAUGAGGAAAAAAUUAUCGACUCUGUCUCAGAAGACCUAGAAAUUGCUCAGUGAUUAGACAGCGGGCUGGAAGGAAAGCAAAGGCACUGCUCUCAUGCAUAAUGGUGCGUGUGCUGAUGAGCCUUCUAAGAAUGGAGUGGCUGCAGCAACUGAAAAAUGGAGAUGACAACAAAGUCAGGAUGUUGAUCAGGCAAGCAAUAGACAAUUGUAACAACUGGAUCUCAACACCUCUCCCUGACCUCUCCUCUCUGGACUGGGAAAAAUGGCUGACCAGAGAAAGGGCUCCUUUUGACAGGAAGUCUCUUCUGCUGCCCAGAAAUCACAGCAUCA